CCGCCUUCCACCAUCUACCAGCGUUCCUGGUUAUCUGGAGAGGUCCCAGAGGAUUGGAGGCUUGCCGAUGUGACUCCCAUCUACAAGAAGGGCCGUAAGGAGGAUCUGGGGAACUACAGGCCUGUCAGCCUGACCUCGGUUCCAGGGAAAGUUAUGGAGCAAAUCAUCCUGGGUGAGAUCACACGGCACUUGCGUGGCAUCCAGGGGAUCAGGCCCAGCCAGCACAGGUUUAUGAAAGGGAGGUCGUGCUUGUCCAGCCUCAUCUUCUAUGAUUGUGUGACCAGACUGGUAGAUGAGGGAAGGGCUGUUGCUGUAGUCUACUUAGACUUCAGCAAAGCCUUUGACACAGUCUCCCACAGUAUUCUCCUGGGGAAACUGGCUGCCCGUGGCCUGGAUAUGUAUACUCUUCUCUGGGUAAAGAACUGGCUGGAGGGUCGUGCCCAGCGGGUAGUGGUUAAUGGAGUUAAGUCCAGCUGGUGUCCCGUUACAAGUGAUGUCCCCCACGGGUCGGUACUGGAGCCUAUCUUGUUUAAUAUCUUUAUUGAUGACCUAGAUGAGGGGAUUGAGUGUAGCCUCAGUACGUUUGCAGACAACACCAAGUUGGGAGGUAGUGUCGAUCUGCCUGAGGGUAGGGUGGCCCUUCAGAGGGAUCUGGAUAAGCUGGACUGCUGGGCUGAGGUGAAUGGGAUGAGGCCAUGGGAUGAGGACAAGGCCAAGUGCCAGGUCCUGCACUUUGGCCACAAUAACCCCAUGCAGUGCUAUAGGCUUGGGGUAGAGUGGCUAGAAGACUGUGAAGAAGAAAGGGAUCUGGAAGUGUUGAUUGAUGCUUGGCUGAACACGAGCUGUCAGUGUGUUCAGGUGGCCAAGGCCAACAGCAUCCUGGCUUGUAUUAGAAAUAGUGUAGCCAGCAGGAGCAGGGAGGUGAUCACCCUCCUGUACUCAGCUUUGGUGAGGCCGCACUUCAAGUACUGUGUUCAGUUUUGGCCCCUCACUACAAGAAAGACAUUGAGGCCAUUGAGUGUGUCCAGAGAAGGGCAACAAAACUGGUGAGGGGUCUUGAGCACAAGUCUUAUGAGG
rnacentral:lncRNA from 1 species